rnacentral:tRNA from 1 species
AUUUAAAUAGUUAAAAUAUAGCGUCACAUUGAAGCUGUGGAGUUGGCAUUUGUCGCCUUUAAAUA